rnacentral:lncRNA from 1 species
AGGCACAAGAACGGCAGUAAGUACAUGAAAAUGCCACGCUGCAGUUGGAUUCAGCAAUAAGCGGGGCUGAACAUACGUUUCUGCUUGCAUUUAGCUUUAGGAAACACGAAGGUGAAAACACCUACUGAAACACUCAAACAGGCGGGCAGCACCAAAUAAGUCUGACACUUUUGAAAGCCAUGAACCCGAAGUAUGGGUGUACAUGUAUUAUUUUACGAAAUUAUCCAAGAUCGCUGAAGAAGCUGAAUACCAUAUUACUGCUCAUAAGUUUGUCAUUACCCAUGGCUGUGGAACUUGCUGCUGCGAAUGAUUUGUCGGAAAACAUGACUGGCCUGGAAUAUCUCUUCAAUCAUCUAUCUUCUAGAUCAGCAGAACUCCAACUGCCCAGAAGACAGUUCUUUCUUAAUGUCUCGGAGAAUUCCAAUGACAAGCCCCCUGAAACUUUUGGAUUUAACCUUACAAACGGAAAAUUAUUGCAGAAAAGCGACGCUGAAAAAAGCGACGGGUCACCAAAUAAUUGUGAAUACAGAAUGGAUGAUGCUAUAUCUUGUUACAUUUCUAUACUGGACUGGCAUGCCAUUUACAAAGGAGAAGUCAAUCAUACUGUGUUAGGGUACGGGAUCUUCAAUCUCACCAUCACUAUAAAGAAAUGGGAGCUUCCACACAAUCCUGCUCACCUACAAAUUUACAUGAAAUUUACAGAAAAGCCAACUGAUCGUUACACAGCUACAACUCCUUCAGACUUUGUGCCAGUUGCGACUACAAUACCCUCUUUCCAGGAACUUCACAUGUUUGAAAAAAAUGCCACACUGUCAAAAAGUGCUUGGGUGGAGCUAAAUAAGACAAUAUGGGGAAUCAUGUUUGAUCUUAUGAGUGCGAUGAUGACGAAAUAUAGUGUGUUGGUUGAAAAGGAAAUACAGUAUUAACAAGAU